rnacentral:rRNA from 1 species
GAUGAACGCUGGCGGCGUGCCUAAUACAUGCAAGUCGAGCGAACGGACGAGAAGCUUGCUUCUCUGAUGUUAGCGGCGGACGGGUGAGUAACACGUGGAUAACCUACCUAUAAGACUGGGAUAACUUCGGGAAACCGGAGCUAAUACCGGAUAAUAUUUUGAACCGCAUGGUUCAAAAGUGAAAGACGGUCUUGCUGUCACUUAUAGAUGGAUCCGCGCUGCAUUAGCUAGUUGGUAAGGUAACGGCUUACCAAGGCAACGAUGCAUAGCCGACCUGAGAGGGUGAUCGGCCACACUGGAACUGAGACACGGUCCAGACUCCUACGGGAGGCAGCAGUAGGGAAUCUUCCGCAAUGGGCGAAAGCCUGACGGAGCAACGCCGCGUAAGUGAUGAAGGUCUUCGGAUCGUAAAACUCUGUUAUUAGGGAAGAACAUAUGUAUAAGUAACUGUGCACAUCUUGACGGUACCUAAUCAGAAAGCCACGGCUAACUACGUG